rnacentral:sRNA from 1 species
UUUAUUAUUUAUUACAAAUUAUGAGAACUGUUACAUAGACGAUUCUAUCAUGGACAAUUCCUUCCGACCUUUAUUAGAUCCACGACAGACAACACAUUCUUCUCUUUCUCGAUGCGCUUGAUGGACAUCUUCAAGAUCUUCUCUGCGUAAAAUCUUGGCAAACGGCUAUAAUUGUACUUCGUUGUAGAUUUUUUGCACACUUGCCUCCAUUAAUCUGCAAAUCUGCUAAUAAAUCGCAAUACCUGGAACUCGAACCCUAUACUUUUUGGUGUAAAAACAUUAAUGAACCCUUGGUCAAUAGUUAGAAGUUUUAAUUGGGAAAAUAUUUUAACUUGGAGAUUUUUGUUGAGAUUUUCCCAUUAAUAUAUUUUC